rnacentral:rRNA from 1 species
CCUACGGGGGGCAGCAGUGAGGAAUAUUGGUCAAUGGGCGCGAGCCUGAACCAGCCAAGUAGCGUGAAGGAUGACUGCCCUACGGGUUGUAAACUUCUUUUAUAAAGGAAUAAAGUGAGGCACGUGUGCCUUUUUGUAUGUACUUUAUGAAUAAGGAUAGCCUAACUCCGUGACAGCAGACGCGGUAAUACGGAAGAUCCGAGCGUUAUCCGGAUUUAUUGGGUUUAAAGGGCGCGUAGAUGGGGUGUUAAGGCAGUUGUGAAAGUUUGCGGCUCAACCGUAAAAUUGCAAUUGAUAAUGGCAGCCUUGAGUACAGUUGAGGAAGGCGGAAUGCGUGGUGUAGCGGUGAAAUGCUUAGAUAUCACGAAGAACUCCGAUUGCGAAGGCAGCCGACU